AAAUUGGGCCUAACUUAUUUAAGGGUGUGUUUGGUUGACAGGUUUAGCUCUAAGAAAUGGGUAUCAAAGUGAUUGGUAUUGUUUGGUUGAUAGGUUUUUAGAACACUACUAUGAGUUUCAAAUAUCCCCUUAAUUGAAAUACCC